UGACCUCGGAUCAGAUUGAUACCGCUGAAUUAAGCAUAUCACUAAGCGGAGGAAAAGAAACUAACCAGGAUUCCCCUAGUAACGGCGAGUGAAGAGGGAAGAGCCCAGCACCGAAGCCUGUGGUUGUUUGAUCAUAAGGCAAUGUGGUGUUUAGGUUUGUCGACGGAAUCGCUGCUCCACUCCAAGUCCAGUCUUGAGCAUGGUUUACAGACAUGGCCCACAGAGGGUGUAAGGCCCGUGGGAGUGGAGAUCUCGGCAGUGGUUUCUCGGACAAACCUUGGAGUCGGGUUGUUUGAGAAUGCAGCCCAAAGCGGGUGGUAAACUCCAUCCAAGGCUCAAUACUGACACGAGUCCGAUAGCGCACAAGUACCGUGAGGGAAAGUUGAAAAGAACUCUGAAGAGAGAGUGAACAGUACGUGAAACCGCUCAGAGGUAAACGGGUAGAGUUGAACUGCAAGCUCGUGGAGAUUCAGCUAGCAAGUAUGACCGUGUGGCCAACGUGGGUGUCUGCGUCAAACCAGGUCAAGGUUUUCGGACCUUGAUUGGCAAUGCACUUAUGAUGUGUUGUUUGCAUCCGCGUUUGGUGGCCUGCUUGUUAGUGCACUUCUUCCGAGUGUUCAUCACGACCGACGCGUGGCCUGUCUGCUGUGGCCGAACCAUCAGGUUUCGUGUCCUUGUGACUCAAGCUUGGUGGGAUGGCAGGUAACUUGUCUGGCUUUCGGGCCUUCAGGUGUAAUAGCCGGUUGCAGUAGAGCUGUGCUGUGUGUCGGCGAUGGCGGCCUUUUUGGCCAACAGUCAGUGAUGUAGUGGUAAGCUCUCUACCCGACCCGUCUUGAAACACGGACCAAGGAGUUUAACAUGUGCGCGAGUCAUUGGGUUCUACGAAACCUACAGGCGCAAUGAAAGUAAUGGUGAGAUCCGGUUGCUGUAAAAGGUGACUGGCGCAUCGCCGGCCCGUCCCGUUGUGUUGUCGUAGCCAAUUCUGGUUGCGCGUCACUGGGGUGGAGCAUGAGCGUACAUGUUGAGACCCGAAAGAUGGUGAACUAUGCUUGUGUAGACUGAAGCCAGGGGAAACCCUGGUGGAGGGUCGUAGCGAUUCUGACGUGCAAAUCGAUCGUCAAACAUGAGCAUAGGGGCGAAAGACUAAUCGAACCAUCUAGUAGCUGGUUCCCUCCGAAGUUUCCCUCAGGAUAGCUGGCGUUCGUUAAGUUUUAUCCGGUAAAGCGAAUGAUUAGAGGUUUUGGGGAUGAAAAGUCCUCGGCCUAUUCUCAAACUUUAAAUGGGUAAGAUGCUUGACUCGCUCAAUUGGAGUCUUGCUUUGAAUUUGAAUGCCAAGUGGGCCAUUUUUGGUAAGCAGAACUGGCGCUGUGGGAUGAACCAAACGGCUGGUUAAGGUGCCUAACACAACGCUCAUGAGACACCACAAAAGGUGUUGGUUGGUACUGACAGCAGGACGGUGGCCAUGGAAGUUGGAAUCCGCUAAGGAGUGUGUAACAACUCACCUGCCGAAUCAACCAGCCCUGAAAAUGGAUGGCGCUGGA
rnacentral:rRNA from 1 species